rnacentral:rRNA from 1 species
CUUUGGGUGUGACUGCGUACCUUUUGUAUAAUGGGUCAGCGACUUAUAUUCUGUAGCAAGGUUAACCGAAUAGGGGAGCCGGAGGGAAACCGAGUCUUAACCGGGCGUUAAGUUGCAGGGUAUAGACCCGAAACCCGGUGAUCUAGCCAUGGGCAGGUUGAAGGUUGGGUAACACUAACUGGAGGACCGAACCGACUAAUGUUGAAAAAUUAGCGGAUGACCUGUGGCUGGGGGUGAAAGGCCAAUCAAACCGGGAGAUAGCUGGUUCUCCCCGAAAGCUAUUUAGGUAGCGCCUCGUGAAUUCAUCUCCGGGGGUAGAGCACUGUUUCGGCUAGGGGGCCAUCCCGGCUUACCAACCCGAUGCAAACUGCGAAUACCGGAGAAUGUUAUCACGGGAGACACACGGCGGGUGCUAACGUCCGUCGUGAAGAGGGAAACAACCCAGACCGCCAGCUAAGGUCCCAAAGUCAUGGUUAAGUGGGAAACGAUGUGGGAAGGCCCAGACAGCCAGGAUGUUGGCUUAGAAGCAGCCAUCAUUUAAAGAAAGCGUAAUAGCUCACUGGUCGAGUCGGCCUGCGCGGAAGAUGUAACGGGGCUAAACCAUGCACCGAAGCUGCGGCAGC